GUCCACGCCGUAAACUAUGGAUGCUAGCUGUUAUUCGUAUCGACCCGAGUAGUAGCGAAGCUAACGCGUUAAGCAUCCCGCCUGUGGAGUACGGCCGCAAGGCUAAAACAUAAAGGAAUUGACGGGGACCCGCACAAGCGGUGGAGCGUGUUGUUUAAUUCGAUGGUAAGCGAAGAACCUUACCCAGGCUUGACAUCCUUGGAAGCACUGCGAAAGCAGAGUGUGCCUCCGGGAACCAAGUGACAGGUGUUGCAUGGCC
rnacentral:rRNA from 1 species